rnacentral:rRNA from 1 species
GAUGAACGCUGGCGGCGUGCCUAAUACAUGCAAGUCGAGCGAACAGACGAGGAGCUUGCUCCUCUGACGUUAGCGGCGGACGGGUGAGUAACACGUGGAUAACCUACUUAUAAGACUGGGAUAAUUUCGGGAAACCGGAGCUAAUACCGGAUAAUAUAUUGAACCGCAUGGUUCAAUAGUGAAAGACGGUUUUGCUGUCACUUAUAGAUGGAUCCGCGCCGCAUUAGCUAGUUGGUAAGGUAACGGCUUACCAAGGCGACGAUGCGUAGCCGACCUGAGAGGGUGAUCGGCCACACUGGAACUGAGACACGGUCCAGACUCCUACGGGAGGCAGCAGUAGGGAAUCUUCCGCAAUGGGCGAAAGCCUGACGGAGCAACGCCGCGUGAGUGAUGAAGGUCUUCGGAUCGUAAAACUCUGUUAUUAGGGAAGAACAAAUGUGGAAGUAACUAUGCACGUCUUGACGGUACCUAAUCAGAAAGCCACGGCUAACUACGUG